UGGUGGAGUGAUUUGUCUGCUUAAUUGCGAUAACGAACGAGACCUUGACCUGCUAAAUAGCUAGGCUAGCUUUGGCUGGUCGCCGGCUUCUUAGAGGGACUAUCGGCUCAAGCCGAUGGAAGUUUGAGGCAAUAACA
rnacentral:rRNA from 1 species